UGGGGAUCUGCCCAGUAGUGGGGAACAACUCCGAGAAAUCGGAGCUAAUACCGCAUACGGUCUGGUACGAGGGUACUGAGACUAAAGCUGGCAACAGCGCUAUUGGAGGAACCUGCGGCUGAUUAGCUAGUUGGUGGGGUAAAGGCCUACCAAGGCGAUGAUCAGUAGCUGGUCUGAGAGGAUGGACAGCCACACUGGGACUGAGAUACGGCCCAG
rnacentral:rRNA from 1 species